rnacentral:rRNA from 1 species
ACUCCUACGGGAGGCAGCAGUGGGGAAUAUUGCACAAUGGGCGCAAGCCUGAUGCAGCAACGCCGUGUGAGUGAAGAAGGUUUUCGGAUCGUAAAACUCUGUCCUAAGGGAAGAAACAAAUGACGGUACCUUAGGAGGAAGCCCGGCUAACUACGUGCCAGCAGCCGCGGUAAUACGUAGGGGCAAGCGUUAUCCGGAAUCACUGGGGCGUAAAGGGUGCGUAGGCGGCUUAGCAAGCCAGGGGUGAAAGGCAUUGGCUCAACCAAUGUAAGCCUUUGGAACUGUUAAGCUUGAGUGCAGGAGAGGUAAGUGGAAUUCCUAGUGUAGAGGUGAAAUUCGUAGAUAUUAGGAGGAACACCAGUGGCGAAGGCGACUUACUGGACUGUAACUGACGCUGAUGCACGAAAGCGUGGGUAGCGAACAGGAUUAGAUACCCUGGUAGACUGUCA